UGCCUUGUCUUUUAAAAAAUCUGAAAACCUCUGAAUUCUUAAUCCAGCCACUGCCAGGGUUCUGGAUAAGAGAUUGUGAACCUAAAACACAGAGUUGUUAUUUCUGAUAGACGAGGGGACCCAACCAGAUGGCUCAGCUCGUCAAGCCUUUAGUCCCAUCCCUGACAAAGUCUAAGGCGACAUAAUCCCACGUUAAACCCCGGACUCCAAUGCUUCCUCUGUCCUGCCCUGUGUCCAAGCAGUGAGGCCUUCAGGCUGGCUGGGCAGAGAGAUGACCACAGCACUGACCCUCCUGCAGCUUCUCCAUGUGGAUAAGGCGGAUUCUUUACCAACUGAGCUCUCAGGGAAGCGCCAACCAAGAGAAGACUGGGCAGGCAAGCCCUGCAGGGGGGGAGCACACAGGACUGGACGUGAAGGGAUCAUCCUGAGUGCUCUGGACCAGGAGCUCUGCUGAGUCCAGACAGGCUGAGGGACUUGGAGGAAGGGAUUCAUCUCCACCUUUGCCAGCCCUCUCCACUCCGGGGCUUCCUUGUAGAGCUGAUGGAUGGCGUGAGAC